GGAAUUGACGGGGCCCGGCACAAGCGGUGGAGCAUGUGGUUUAAUUCGAUGAUACGCGAGGAACCUUACCUGGGCUCAAAUGUAUGUUGACGUAUUUACUGAAAGGGAUACUUCUUCGGACAAUAUACAAGGUGCUGCAUGGUUGUCGUCAGCUCGUGCCGUGAGGUGUCGGGUUAAGUCCCAUAACGAGCGCAACCCCUAUCAUUAGUUGCCAUCAGGUCAAGCUGGGGACUCUAAUGAAACUGCCUACGCAAGUAGUGAGGAAGGUGGGGAUGACGUCAAAUCAGCACGGCCCUUACGUCCAGGGCUACACACGUGCUACAAUGGCCGGUACAAAGGGCAGCUACCUGGUGACAGGAUGCUAAUCUCAAAAGCCGGUCUCAGUUCGGAUCGGAGUCUGCAACCCGACUCCGUGAAGUCGGAAUCGCUAGUAAUCGUGAAUCAGAAUGUCACGGUGAAUACGUUCCCGGGCCUU
rnacentral:rRNA from 1 species